GGCUCAGAAUGACAUUCCUGUCAUAACCCUUUUUUCUGCUUUCACUCACCAACCCUGCACUUGGGCACAGGGCCAGCAUUGUGAUGGGAAGGACAUUUUUUAGUUGUAUUUCCGCCCUGAUAUAAUACCUAGUGCAUAGAAGAAGCUCAAUAAAUCAUCUAAGCCAACAGCGUACAUUCAUUCACUUAGUCAAAUGUUUACCAAAUCUAUGAUGCUAUUAUGUCUCCAUUCCCCAGUGCAAGCCACACCCUGUGACCAAGCUCCCUUCCUUGUUCUCUGGUCAUUCUACCUGCAGCCUCCUUCUCAUCUCUGGGACCUGACCAAGGGCAAGAGAUUCUGGACUGAGCCUUCCUGUCCCCUUUACCCUCACAGGACAGGCAUUGAGUAAGAAGCUUAGUAAAUGAGGAUUGACAAAAUUUAAAAUUACUUCAAAAUUGGGACCUGUCACAAGACCAGAAGUAAGCCUUCUAUUUUCUCAUAAUAUUAAGUUCUGGAAGAACUCUUUCCUGUCUUUGUGAGGUGUGAUCAAAACUAUAGUGAACACUGCUGCCAAGUGCCAUCCUACAGAAAGACAGGCUCAUAAAAACAUCACAGUGUGUUACAUCUACCUUACUCACCAGAUCUGACACCACGCAACUUUUGGCUCUUCCCCGAAGUCAAACUGACCAUGAAAGAUCACUAGUGUUGUCUUUUGUACCCAGAAUGUUUUUGGCUCCCUUCUGUGGAGGAUGAGAAAGUACCUUUAUACUCCACAAUAAUGCACGUGUCCAUCUCAGGAUGAACGCCAUCCAUCAAGAUCAUGAAACGAAGAUUUUUGUCUACCUGGAAUUCAGUAAGAAAAG